GAGUUUGAUCCUGGCUCAGGAUGAACGCUGGCGGCGUGUCUAAGGCAUGCAAGUCGAAUGGGUUUAGACCCAUGGCAAACGGGUGCGUAACACAUUGGUAACCUACCUCGAAGACGGGGAUAAUCCGGCGAAAGCUGGGAUAAUACCCGAUGAUAAUGGGGGGACAUAAGUCAUUCCCAUUUAAAGAUUUAUCCCUUCGAGAGGGGCCUAUGCCUCAUCAGCUAGUUGGCGGAGUAAAAGCCCACCAAGGCUAAGACGAGUAGCGGGCGCGAGAGCGUGACCCGCCUCAUUGGAACUGAGACACUGUCCAAACUCCUACGGGAGGCUGCAGUCAAGAAUUUUCCCCAAUGGCCGAAAGGCUGAGGGAGCGACGCCGCGUGUAUGAUGAAGCUCUUCGGAGUGUAAAAUACUUUUUUCUGGGACGAAUUUUGACUUUACCAGGAGAAUAAGGAGCCGCUAACCUCGUGCCAGCAGCGGCGGUAAUACGAGGGCUCCAAGCGUUAUCCGGAUUUAUUGGGCGUAAAGGGUACGUAGGCGGUUUGAUGCAUCUUUCGUUAAAUCUUCGGGCUUAACCCGGAGGCUGCGAAAGAGAUGGUCAGACUAGAGACCGGAAGAGGUAAGCGGAAUUGUUGGUGUAGGGGUUAAAUCCGUUAAUAUCAACAAGAACACCAAAUGCGAAGGCAGCUUACUAGGACGGUUCUGACGCUGAGGUACUAAAGCGUGGGUAGCGAAUAGGAUUAGAUACCCUAGUAGUCCACGCCUUAAGCGUUGAAUGCUGAGUAUUGGAGGAUUCGACCCCUCCAGUGCUGCACUUUUAAGUUAACACGUUAAGCAUUCCGCCUGGGUAGUACGAACGCAAGUUUAAAACUCAAAGGAAUAGACGGGGACCCGCACAAGCGGUGGAGCAUGUGGUUUAAUUCGACAAUAAGCGAGGAACCUCACCAAGGUUUGACAUCUAGCUGCAAGGCCUGGAAACAGGUCCGCCUUCGAGGGUGCUAGACAGAUGCUGCAUGGCUGUCGUCAGCUCGUGUCGUGAGAUGUACCGUUAAGUCGGACAACGAGCGCAACCCCUAUCCUAUGUUUUACAUGUCAUAGGAGACUGCCCGUUUUAAAUGGGAGGAAGGUGGGGAUGACGUCAAGUCAGCAUGGUUCUUACACCUUGGGCCACACACAUGCUACAAUGGGGAAUACAAAGGGACGCCAAACCGUAAGGUGGAGCAAAUCCCAAAAAAUUCUCCUCAAUUCGGAUUGAGGGCUGCAAUUCGCCCUCAUGAAGCCGGAAUCGCUAGUAAUCGUGAAUCAGCUACGUCACGGUGAAUACGUUCUCGGGUCUUGUACUCACCGCCCGUCACGCCAAGGGAGCUGGUAAUACCCAAAGCUUCUACAUUUGUAGGAGUUAAGGUAAGACUGGUGACAGGGGCGAAGUCGUAACAAGGCA
rnacentral:rRNA from 1 species